GAGACCAACUCCAACGGCAGCCUC
rnacentral:siRNA from 1 species